rnacentral:rRNA from 1 species
AGAGUUUGAUCCUGGCUCAGAUUGAACGCUGGCGGAAUGCUUUACACAUGCGAGUCGAGCGGCAGCGCGGGGGCAACCCUGGCGGCGAGCGGCGAACGGGUGAGUAAUGUAUCGGAACGUACCCAGUCGUGGGGGAUAACUAUCCGAAAGGAUAGCUAAUACCGCAUACGACCUGAGGGUGAAAGCGGGGGACCGUAAGGCCUCGCGCGAUUGGAGCGGCCGAUAUCGGAUUAGCUUGUUGGUGAGGUAAAGGCUCACCAAGGCGACGAUCCGUAGCUGGUCUGAGAGGACGACCAGCCACACUGGAACUGAGACACGGUCCAGACUCCUACGGGAGGCAGCAGUGGGGAAUUUUGGACAAUGGGGGCAACCCUGAUCCAGCCAUUCCGCGUGAGUGAAGAAGGCCUUCGGGUUGUAAAGCUCUUUCAGCAGGAACGAAACGGUGGUCCUUAAUACGGGCUACUAAUGACGGUACCUGAAGAAGAAGCACCGGCUAACUACGUGCCAGCAGCCGCGGUAAUACGUA